rnacentral:rRNA from 1 species
AUGAAUGCUGGCGGCGUGUCUAAGGCAUGCAAGUCGAACGCACGUUAUGGUGCGUGGCAAACGGGAGAGUAAUACUUUGGUAACCUACCUCUUAGUCGUGAAUAACUUUUCGAAAGAUUAGAUAAUACACGAUGGCCUGAAUUUUCGAAAGAAGAUUUAGUAAAGAUUUAUCGCUAAGAGAGGGGCCUAAGGCCUAUCAGCUAGUUGGUGAGAUAAUAGCCCACCAAGGCAACGACGGGUAGCAGGUGUGAGAGCACGACCUGCCCCAUUGGGACUGAGAUACUGCCCAGACACCUACGGGUGGCUGCAGUUAAGAAUAUUCCACAAUGCACGAAAGUGUGAUGGAGCGACGCCGCGUGAAUGAUGAAGCCCUUCGGGGUGUAAAGUUCUUUUAUUGAGGAAAAAUUUAUGAUGUUACUUAAUGAAUAAGGGGCUGCUAACUUCGU